GUGUAAUAUUUGCAGUGAUAAAAGUUAUUAAUUCCCAAAGAUUUGAAUUAACAAUCCACAGUGUUAAACAGUACUCGUGUUCAGUGUUGUUAUAUGGUGUAAUUUCACUUUUACACUAAAAGUGCGAAAUAAAAGACCCGCCGAAUUGUCUGGACUCCGCCCUUCAGUGACUGCUGCCUCGCGAAGCGACAACGCCAUCUUUUCUUCGAGCGACCGAUACGUUGGUCGUCCUCUCGCCUCUGUUCCCUCCUCGGCCUGGGCUUACUGCGAAUCUGGCGCUGAAGACUGAAGCUGCUAACGUUAUGUUCGAAGCCUCAGAAGACCUUCAAGGAUCCAGUUGACCUCUGAAUCAGCUGUUAAGAAAAUGGGACAGUUAUAUUGCUUCAAUUGGUCUCCUACUUCAUUUGAUUCCACCAUCAUUACAAGGCUGCAAGGGAUCUGGAAAAAUGUCAUCCUGUCAAGCUGAAAAACAUCUUCAAAAAGGCACUAACAAGAACAGCUUGAUUGCAGAGAAGAGACCACACAGCCAUACACGCUCACUGAUGGGACGAUGAGGAACAUCAUUCAUGGAUGCUACACAACUCAAAUCUACACGUCAUAUUUGUUCAUGUCUAGGUAAAUUUGAUGAUUUUGUGUUUUAUUAACUACUUUGUUUCUAUGCAACACUUAAUGAAUGUGACUGACUAAUUAACCUCUACACAUCUGGUAUAUGCUUUAAAGUUGCCACUUUGCCCAUUUGUUCAAUAAAUGUUGAAAUGUA